rnacentral:rRNA from 1 species
GACGAACGCUGGCGGCGUGCUUAACACAUGCAAGUCGAACGGAAAGGCCCUGCUUUUGUUGGGCGCUCGUGUGGCGAACGGGUGAGUAACACGCGAGUAACCUGCCCUUGACUUUGGGAUAACUCCAGGAAACUGGGGCUAAUACCCGAUAUGAUCUCCUGCUGCACGGUGGGGGUUGGAAAGUUUCGGCGGUUGGGGAUGGACUCGCGGCUUAUCAGCUGGUUGGUGGGGUAGGGGCUUACCAAGGGUACGACGGAUAGCCGGCCUGAGAGGGCUGCCGGCGACCAUGGGACUGCGGUACGGCCCAGAAUCCUACGGGAGGCAGCGGUGGGGAGUAUUGCGCAAUGAGCGGACGCCAGAUACAGCAACGCCGCGUGCGGGAUGACGGCCUUCGGGUUGUGAACCGCUUUCGCCUGUGACGAGGCGUGAGUGACGGUAAUGGGUAAAGAAGCACCGGCUAACUACGUG